UACGUAGGGUGCGAGCGUUGUCCGGAAUUAUUGGGCGUAAAGAGCUCGUAGGCGGUCUGUCGCGUCGAUCGUGAAAACUUGGGGCUUAACCCUGAGCUUGCGGUCGAUACGGGCAUGACUGGAGUUCGGCAGGGGAGACUGGAAUUCCUGGUGUAGCGGUGAAUGCGCAGAUAUCAGGAGGAACACCGGUGGCGAAGGCGGGUCUCUGGGCCGAUACUGACGCUGAGGAGCGAAAGCGUGGGGAGCGAACAGG
rnacentral:rRNA from 1 species